rnacentral:snRNA from 1 species
GGAUGUAAGGACAAUCUGGCUGCAACAUGUCACCCCACUGAUGGCCAGAGAUGAUCUGCCUGAUUUGGCUAGCUAGGUUGGUAUCCCCUUCCUCCCUCACUGCUCCAUGUUCCUCCUCCUCUUGGUACCUUGCCAGGUUCUCUGAGAGGGAGAACUAGGCUAUAAGUUUGUGCGGCCACAAAUGUGGCUUCCAGGAACCGUUGUUU